rnacentral:rRNA from 1 species
AUUGAACGCUGGCGGCAUGCCUUACACAUGCAAGUCGAACGGUAACAGGUCUUCGGAUGCUGACGAGUGGCGAACGGGUGAGUAAUACAUCGGAACGUGCCCGAUCGUGGGGGAUAACGAGGCGAAAGCUUUGCUAAUACCGCAUACGAUCUACGGAUGAAAGCGGGGGAUCUUCGGACCUCGCGCGGACGGAGCGGCCGAUGGCAGAUUAGGUAGUUGGUGGGAUAAAAGCUUACCAAGCCGACGAUCUGUAGCUGGUCUGAGAGGAUGAUCAGCCACACUGGGACUGGGACACGGCCCAGACUCCUACGGGAGGCAGCAGUGGGGAAAUUUGGACAAUGGGCGAAAGCCUGAUCCAGCCAUGCCGCGUGCAGGAUGAAGGCCUUCGGGUUGUAAACUGCUUUUGUACGGAACGAAAAGCCUCUUUCUAAUAAAGAGGGGUCAUGACGGUACCGUAAGAAUAAGCACCGGCUAACUACGUG